GACUAUAGCGUUUAGAAUAGAUCCUGCACUAAGGAUAUUUGCUCCAAAUAUAUGAAGAAACAUUUUAAAUAGCGCGCUAGCGUUUAGAAGAGAUUCUCCGCUAAGAGGCUUUUUGGUAAUGCAUAACCAUAUUUAGAGUCAAAGGAUGGGGCCUCGACGCGUAUUUGAAUCUGAGCAUCCGACAACAAUGGCCUACACAAGACGACACCACUACAAAAAUAGAGAUAGCAUGAAGAACUGCAAAUCACCAUACGAUGUACAGAUAUAGCAUGACCCUGAGUACAUGACACAUACAUUUUUGGUAUUCUAACACGGCAGACUGCUGCAUCUAUCCCUUAACAGAUUUCAUCCCUUAACCAUGCGGCGCCGCAGCUCAUUCACCGCAAAUUAAGCGUGUGAACCUUGUCUCUGCAGUUCUGCACGGGGAGUGGCUAUUGCGCAGCUUUCCAAGAAAAAUGCACAAUCCCCACGCAGGUGGUAGCUCCAUGUCUGAAAAACAGAAACAUUGAGAAAUGGUCAGAAGGAUGUUCUGGCUCCAUCCAUAGAAGGUUAAAAGAGAAUCCGCAACAGAGAAUGCCCAAGCCAACUAUCUGGCUGAGGUCGGCGUUCCUAUUUCUAAGCAAGAAUUCAUAGCGAGAUGUUUAAAAAAUGAAAAGAGUAUCUAACAAUGUGGCUCACAGAUUUUCUAGUACAGGGGCUUGAGCACUGUUUUAUCUUAUUUUGCAGGUUUCCUUUUUCUUUUAUCUUACCACACAUAAAACAAGCACUGCAAAGCGAUAAAUUGCCAUUUAAUAUUUUUUUCUUAUGCCAAAUUUGACACAGUGAAUCAAUAUGAAUGUAACUAUUUGUAUUUCAUAUGUAAUUUGUUUAUGAAAUGAUCGUAAGAUUACCUCGGGUGAAGAAUAACUUAUUCUGCACCCUGGGUGAUGAAUAGUAUAAAGACGAGAGCGGCACACCAACCUUUUCCAUUGAAGAAAAGAAAUGAAAUACUUUGUUUGCUGUGCAUUAGGCUUUAUCCAAAUUGUCAAGUUCAUCACGCCCACUUUGCUUCCGGUAAUGAAAAUAAAGGAACUGAAGAAUAAUCUGCAGAUAUGGUUAAGGAUUCUUCCAAUGCAACAGCUGAUUGAAAUCUGCUAUGAAUUGUGAUAUGGCAUAUCAUUGUACCACCGACCAGAUUCUAAAACAUAGGUCUCAGGCAUUUUUGGCAACUAACAUAUAUGAUCCUAAGACGCAGUCAUACUCAACUACAUUGUGGUAAUAUUUCUACUCAUAUGAGCCUUAUUUGAGAUGAUAGCUAGAAAGGCAACUCAAUAAUGAUUCUAAAACAAAGGC
rnacentral:lncRNA from 1 species